AGUGAACGCUGGCGGUAGGCCUAACACAUGCAAGUCGAACGGCAGCACAGUAAGAGCUUGCUCUUACGGGUGGCGAGUGGCGGACGGGUGAGGAAUACAUCGGAAUCUACUUUUUCGUGGGGGAUAACGUAGGGAAACUUACGCUAAUACCGCAUACGACCUACGGGUGAAAGCAGGGGAUCUUCGGACCUUGCGCGAUUGAAUGAGCCGAUGUCGGAUUAGCUAGUUGGCGGGGAAAAGGCCCACCAAUGCGACGAUCCGUAGCUGGUCUGAGAGGAUGAUCCGCCACACUGGGACUGAGACACGGUCCAGAAUCCUACGCGAGGCCGCAGUGCGGAAUAUUGGACAAUGGGCGCAAGACUGCUCCAGCCAUACCGCGUGGGUGAAGAAGGCCUUCGGGUUGUAGAGCCCUUUUGUUGGGAAAGAAAAGCAGCAGGUUAAUACACCGCUGUUCCGACGGUACCCAAAGAAUAAGCACCGGCUAACUUCGUG
rnacentral:rRNA from 1 species